UACGUAGGGCGCAAGCGUUAUCCGGAAUUAUUGGGCGUAAAGAGCUCGUAGGCGGUUUGUCGCGUCUGCCGUGAAAGUCCGGGGCUCAACUCCGGAUCUGCGGUGGGUACGGGCAGACUAGAGUGAUGUAGGGGAGACUGGAAUUCCUGGUGUAGCGGUGAAAUGCGCAGAUAUCAGGAGGAACACCGAUGGCGAAGGCAGGUCUCUGGGCAUUAACUGACGCUGAGUAGCGAAAGCAUGGGGAGCGAACAGU
rnacentral:rRNA from 1 species